rnacentral:rRNA from 1 species
UAAUACGGAGGGUGCAAGCGUUGUUCGGAAUUAUUGGGCGUAAAGGGCGCGUAGGCGGGCUUUUAAGUCCGGUGUGAAAUCCCUCGGCUUAACCGAGGACGUGCAUUGGAAACUGAAAGUCUUGAGUCCUGGAGAGGAAAGCGGAAUUCCCAGUGUAGAGGUGAAAUUCGUAGAUAUUGGGAGGAACACCAGCGGCGAAGGCGGCUUUCUGGACAGUGACUGACGCUGAGGCGCGAAAGCGUGGGUAGCAAACAGGAUUAGAUACCCUGGUAGUCCACGCCGUAAACGAUGGGUACUAGUUGGUGCGGGUAUUGACCCCUGCGCUGACGCAGCUAACGCAUUAAGUACCCCGCCUGGGGAGUACGGCCGCAAGGCUA